GCGAGUGAAGCGGUAACAGCUCAAAUUUGAAAUCUGGCCUUCACGGGUCCGAGUUGUAAUUUGUAGAGGAUGUUUCGGGCAAGGCUGCGGUUUAAGUUUCUUGGAACAGAACGUCAUAGAGGGUGAGAGUCCCGUCUAGAACCGACAGUUGCGUCCAUGUGAAGCUCCUUCGACGAGUCGAGUUGUUUGGGAAUGCAGCUCAAAAUGGGUGGUAAAUUUCAUCUAAAGCUAAAUAUUGGCCAGAGACCGAUAGCGCACAAGUAGAGUGAUCGAAAGAUGAAAAGCACUUUGAAAAGAGAGUUAAACAGUAUGUGAAAUUGUUGAAAGGGAAGCGCUUGCAACCAGACUUGAGUGUAGCAGUUCCCCCUGUCUUUUGACUGGGCUAUUCUGUUAUAUCCAGGCCAGCAUCGGUUCAGGUGGUUGGUUAAAGGCCUUGGGAAUGUAUCUACCUCCGGGUCGACUUAUAGCCCAGGGUGUAAUGCGGCCUAUCUGGACCGAGGAACGCGCUUUUGCUCGGAUGCUGGCGUAAUGGUUGUAAGCGGCCCGUCUUGAAACACGGACCAAGGAGUCUAACAUCUAUGCGAGUGUUAGGGUGUCAAACCCUUGCGCGUAAUGAAAGUGAACGGAGGUAAGAACCCUUAAGGGUGCAUUAUCGACCGAUCCUGAUGUCUUCGGAUGGAUUUGAGUAAGAGCAUAGCUGUUGGGACCCGAAAGAUGGUGAACUAUGCCUGAAUAGGGUGAAGCCAGAGGAAACUCUGGUGGAGGCUCGCAGCGGUUCUGACGUGCAAAUCGAUCGUCAAAUUGGGUAUAGGGGCGA
rnacentral:rRNA from 1 species